ACCAGUAGUAGCCUCAUCCUUCAGUUCA
rnacentral:sRNA from 1 species